GCGGCGACCGCGUGUUGCAAAGUUUUUCCGAACCACCUGUUGAUUGUACUUCAUCAGGUGCUCUGGUAACGUUGAAAAUCCCGGCACUUGUUGGAGUGCAAUUCACUUGCUGGCAUCGAAUCUUCGAGCACACGAUGAUGUGGCUGUUUGCAGCGGUCUCCGCGAUGUUAAAUAAUAACGAAUUUACAAAUAAAUUACACCCGCACCGAAAUUACUGUAAAAACACCGGCAAUAUUUGUAUAUAGCGUUUAGUAGUACACGUUACAUUGAUGUAUUUUUUUUAUUGUAAUACAAUUUAUUAUAAUAAGUUUAUAAACGAUGUUUUUCGAUUUUUCUUAUUGUUAAAUCGCGUUAUUUUUCGUCGUUA